CUAAAAGAAUAGAUCUAAUCUGCAUGAUCUAGAGGAAUUAAAUAAAUAGUUUUGUUAGUACCUAGAUCUGAAGAUGGAGUUUGAAUUGCUGUAAUUAAGAUUAUACGUUAGUAAACUGAACCCAAUUAACUUAAUAUGU
ensembl:ncRNA F31B12.5 ncRNA